GUGCAGCAGGCGCGAAAACUUCACACUGUGCGAAAGCACGAUGAGGGAAUCCCAAGUGCUUGCACGUAAGUGUAAGCUGUUUCUCUGUUUAAAACGCAGAGAGAGUAAGGGCUGGGUAAGACGGGUGCCAGCCGCCGCGGUAAUACCUGCAGCUCAAGUGGUGACCGUUAUUAUUGGGCCUAAAACGUCCGUAGCCGGUUUAAUAAAUGCCUGGGUAAAUCGUGUAGCUUAACUAUACGAAUUCCGGGUAGACUGUUAAACUCGAGACCGGGGAGAAGUUA
rnacentral:rRNA from 1 species